AGGAGGCGGGUGGAUGUGGGAGCGGAGAGUUUUCCAGAGGGCCGGCUGGGCUGGAGGGGUCGUCGAGAUGCAAUAACCUUCUCCGUCUUAGAAAGCCGAAUAGAGAGCUGCUUCUUGUAUAUCAGGGCAGUGCUGCUUCUUGUAUAUCAAAUGUCCUUGAAACAUGGAGGGAAGCAAAGUACAGAAAACCAAGGCAGCCAAAACCCAUGCUGGUACUGUGGGAGAACUAGCAAGAGGUUGGCAGAGCUGGUCAGAAGAUCAUGUUGAUUAUCAGAGACGGAAUCCAUUCAGCAGCACCAGGCCAGUAACUCUACAUGUUCAAAGGGGAGAUGCCGCCUAUGGCAGACCCCCUGAAAACUCCAAAACAGAACAGAGGGGGAAAGAUGCUCACACCCACAUAGGCAAAGAAGUGGAAGAACUCUGCUUGGUCAUAAGAAGUAUUGGGGAAAGAAGCCAGGAUGGACGUGUAAAAAUAACAUUCAAACAGCUCUUUGAAAGAUAUGUUUCCAUAUCUAAUAAGGUGGUAGGUGUUCUACUGAGAGCAAGGAAACAUGGCUUGGUUGAUUUUGAAGGUGAAAUGCUUUGGCAAGGAAAAGAUGACCAUGUGAUUAUUACCUUACUUGAGUGAAAUUGCUGUAGUGUGCUGUAGUGAGAACAGCUAAAAGCCUUAAACAAAAUCAAUGCUGGCUGGCCAAAAACAGAGAAGAAAUUAUUUAAAUGAAAAGGAAUAGAAACUAGAUCUUUUGUAAUGAGUUUAUACCUUUGUUAAUGAAUUCUCCAAUCAGCCUGUUCUAGUCUACUCUUAUGUAUCUCCAACAAUAAGACCUGAAGAACUCCCAAAUUCUGUUCUAUGAGUCUGAAAAACACUGCAUGAGAGGGCUGUAUUCAGUGAGUUAUCAUUUUGAAAAUGCAAACUUGAAUAAAGCUUGACAAAAUAG